rnacentral:rRNA from 1 species
AGAACGAACGCUGGCGGCAUGCCUAACACAUGCAAGUCGAACGCUCUUGGGGCUUCGGUCUCAGGGGAGUGGCGCACGGGUGAGUAGCGCGUGGGAACCUGCCCUGUUGUGGGGGAUAACCGAGGGAAACUUCGGCUAAUACCGCAUAAGCCGGUUGUCUUGAAGGAGAUGGCCGGGAAAGAUUUAUCGCGACAGGAGGGGCCCGCGUCGGAUUAGCUAGUUGGUGGGGUAACGGCCCACCAAGGCGGUGAUCCGUAGCUGGUCUGAGAGGAUGAUCAGCCACACUGGGACUGAGACACGGCCCAGACUCCUACGGGAGGCAGCAGUGGGGGAAUAUUGGACAAUGGGCGCAAGCCUGAUCCAGCAAUGCCGCGUGAGUGAUGAAGGCCUUAGGGUUGUAAAGCUCUUUCGCCCGCGACGAUGAUGACGGUAGCGGGAGAAGAAGCCCGGCUAACUUCGUGCCAGCAGCCGCGGUAA